rnacentral:misc_RNA from 1 species
AUUGGAACAAAGAUUGUUGGAAUCAUCACUUGAACAAGACUCAUGUUCCAAAUCAAAAUUGGAUGGCUUUGAUUUUAUUGAUGAUCUUUGACUUCUAAGAGCUUUCAGGGAAACUCUCUGAGGAUAAAAAGACAGAAACUUGGAAAACUCUUUGCUACUUCUAUUCAAUUUCAUCACUGAUUUGUCUCUUUCAACAGAAUCA